rnacentral:tRNA from 1 species
GCCGGGAUGGUGAAACUGGUAGACACGCAUGGUUUAGGACCAUGUGCCGUAAGGUGUGAGGGUUCGAGUCCCUCUCCCGGCA